rnacentral:lncRNA from 1 species
AUAGCUCUACCUCUCAUCACCAUUCCACAAGGUCUCCACCCCCUACUUAGAGUGAGAAAGAGAAACAGAGAGUAACCUAUAAGGGGCACGUCCCAUUGAGAGAGACAGAGAGAGGAGGCCAUGCCUGCAUACUUCCAUGGCCAAAGCUUGAGCCAGGGAGUUCCAUGCCAUUAUCAAGGGCCUACAAUUGACUGAGAAAACCCGAGAAAACAGAAAGGUAUUUGAUAUUCCUUUAGAUCCUAAGUUGAAUUAUGCACAGACCUCUUUAUGCUCAAAUUUCUCCUGUCAUGGCCCAGUUACUGUUACUUUUGAGCAAUUUCUAUUCAUAUUUUGGCCAUUACAUUGCUGCUAUAUUUACUAAGGUUUUCUUGAGAAAUCAGGGAGGAAUUUGAUUCAUUAUGAUUUCUUGAAUUGAUUAGAUCAUAGGCCGCACUCAACCAAAAUUGUUGCUCUCACAUGCUUGAUCAUAUCUCCCAUUUUUGGCCUAAAAUCCCUACUCGAUUUUACCAUAAUUGAGAGUUCAUUGCACCCACAUUUUCUCAGCCCCUUCUUGAGUAUUUCCUAGGUUCCAUUUGAUAUUUGUGAUGCUAUAAUUGCAUAUAAUAUUUUCUUGUUUAUUUUGUUAUGUGCUCCCCACAAAUUUGCACCACAUUCACAAGAAGUGCCACUUUCCACACUUCUCGCACACAACUAGCAAAGAACCACUUCAGCUUUUUCAAAAACCUAAAAAUCAGUGUUAAAGUCAUGAGGAGUACCCAGCUUCUAGAGUCGGGACAGUUUGGAGUUGUGCAACUUUAAUUUGAACACCCCUCUACUAUUGCUACAUUUAAGAGCACCUAAUACAUACUAGGACCCAGUAGCACAGUCUAUAAAGGUUGGCUCGGGAUCACGUGUGCCCUGACUGAUCCAUAUUUACGAUUUUUCUAGUUAGGAACUCCACCUUGAACCUUUUCCAAUAGGGUAACAUUUUUUAACCUCUUUGUGUUGUGAUUACCUAAUUAGGCUGGACUAGGAAACCACCAGGUCUCACGACCAAAUUAGGAUGAGAUUCGACUCAUAGGUUGAGUUCAUGGCCUCAUUGGUUGGCCGGUCCCCUGCGUUUCCCAUGUGCAUUUGUGUGCUCGCGUGACCCCAAGAUAUGUGUGCAGAUAAGGUAUGCGGAUGACAAACCAACAUAAUUGAUUUUAUUGAGGUAAGAAGUACAAGAUGCAAAAAUUUAUUGACGUGGGUUUGGAUGUGCCCUGGCCAUAGCCCUCUUAGAUCUUGUCUUUUGAUGCCUUCUGAUGCUCGUUGGCUGGAGGGUGGGGAGCCGGACCUAUGCCUCUGCUACCUGCACGCUUGGAGCAUGGUUUGGAUCUCGUUCCCUUGCACUUCUUGUCGCACUUGGUCUAGGGGUUGCACACUCAUAGGUUCCAAUAGGGUUCCUACAAGUCCAUCAUGAUUUGGUUUUUGGUGGACCUAGAUGUGGACUAGGUCUAAGUUAGGUUGGAUAGGAGUCGGUUUUGAUUGAAAUGGGCUAGGUUAAAUGGGAUAGGUUGAGUGGGCUCUAGUGGGUUUGGCUAAGUGAGUUCGUGUGGUAACUAGGUGGAUUUGUAUGGGUUUGACUAGGUGGGUUCGUAUGAGUUUGGGUAGGUGGAUUCGUUUGGGUUAGGCUAGAUGGGUUCGCAUGGUUUAGGUCAAGUGGGUUCAAGUGUGUCUUGGCUAAGGAGGGGGUUUGAGUGGUUCAACAAAGUGGGCUUGGGUUAGAAGUGGGGGAAAGGGGGGAACUUAUCCAAAGCCGAUGAAAUUUCAGUAGUGCCUACCCUGUAGAAUGGAAUUCCCUAGAGCUACCCGAGGAACUCUAGAGGAAUAUAUAGGUUGGGGUCUAACAGAAGUAAGUCCGCCCGAAGCCAUAAGUGGGAUUUGUCAUUUGUGGAAGUGUUCUUAGAUUGUAAUGUUAGGGUGGUAUGUCAUAUACCCAUUUUCGGAAAGUCGAACCGACGAGUGUGAUUAAGACAAAAUUUGGGGUUUAAGGAUUUCGAGACCUUCAGAGUCCAUCCAUGACGGUCCUGAAUCUAUUUGAGAUUAAAUUCUAGGAAUUUUCAUCUUUUUUACAUUCUCUGUACCCUUAUACAUGUGGUGUACGGUCCCCUUGUGUCGACUUUCCUAUUCCUUUGCGCUCCGGUAUCUGAUUGAGCUAUGAGGAUGUCUUUCAUGGUGAUAAUAUCUAUCUUCACACUUCUUUUGGUUCCGUUCUGAGGUCAUCCGAAUGCUUUUCAAAAUACUUUUAUUGGGUGAGUCCGCAGUAGUGGGAAAGUGAGAACUUCACUUCUUUUGACCCAGGGGAGCCUUGAAACAUGGAUCAUCUGUGCUUCCACGAAUUUUUUGAGCAUAUUUGGUACCCAAAAGCCACAGUUGCAACCGUUGCCUCUGUUAUUCUCAACGUGGUACGUUAAGAAUAUGCGCAAAGAAAUUGCCCCCCCGGAAUGUCGCGCCUUUGAGAGAAGCCAAAAGCAGGACAUUUGGAACAAAACCGCCCAUUCUCUUUCCCCAAUUUUGUUUUCCGAUCAAUGGCAUCAACAGGUCCUUUGGAGAAGGGGUAGAUCACGUUUAGCUUUCCAAAGGGCAACCAGUGGGUGUUUCAGUGGGCACCUUAUAAGGGAUGUUCUCAUUGCGCCAAAAUUUGGUUUGAUUUCUCAGGAGACCUUGUAGCGAUGCGCUAAAAGGUUGAUUUGAUUUGCCCAGAAACCUUGUAGGGAUUUGCUAGAAAUUUUAGUUGUGAUUUGCCCGAGUCUUGUAGGGGUGCAUGGGCAUUUGACUUGAUUUGCGUGAGGGACCCUGUGGGGGUGGGCUGGAAUUUGAUUUGAUUUGGUUUGCCCGGUGGACCAUGUAGAGGUGUGCGCCAGAAAUUUGAUUUGGUUUGCCUGGGGCUUCAAAGGUGCUCCGGCAUUUUGACUUGGUUUAGUUCUGUUUUGAUUUUUUUUUUUUUUUUUUUUGGGGUUCAUGAGACCUUUUAAGGGUGCCGCGAAACUCGACUUUUGAUCGAGGCUGCUUGAAACGGGCUUUGCAUCCAUCAGGUUUGUCGAGGUACCUGAUCAGGUUUUCACUUGAACUUUGUUGGAGAGGAGCUGCAUAAUGGUUUUAUCAUCUUCUUUAUUUUUUAGCUUUUAGACCCUUCAUUUUUUUCAUUUUUAUUUAUGGCACCCUUUCGAUUGUUUUACCCAUAGCUUCAUAGCCACUUCGGGGCCUUUUCCACUUUUAUUUGUGAUACCCUUUCAGGUCACCACACCCAGAUUUUUUCUUUUUUCUAUGGCAUAUUUAUCCAUGGUUUCGUGGCCAUGUCCGCAUUUUUUUUUUCCAUUUUUACUCUUGACCCCCUUUUGGGUUUACACUAUGACCUAAUUUUUUAUUCCUUUGGGGCUACUAAAGUGAGUUUGGAGAUGCCGAAGUUCCAAACAGUUUAAGGCCAUGUGGUAGGGAUCGGUAGCAUAGUGUCUAAGAGUGUGAUCCACUGGAAAAUAUGGGAGGAUGCCACUUUCAACACUCUUACAGCGGGAUAAACUUUCCGUUAAGGAUGAGAUGGGCCUAUUAAGGGACAUUGCGACAUGGGGACACCUCCAAAGAUAUGGGUAUCGAAAGGUUUGACCUCACAAAAUUCAGGUACUGCACUAAAUUUUUCUUCAUCGGACUGGCCUUCAUAGGGUGAAUAAGAGUCUUAUUCUCGAAAGCCAAGAACUUGAUGGCUUCCGAGAGGGUUUAGGGUCCGAUUUUAUCCAGACUUUCUUGACUCAUGUCUCUGAGGGAUGCCCAUGUGGGGAGCUUUUCGAGAAGAUAGGACGAAAUUGUGAGGGACACAUGGAGGGCCGACAGUAGUGCAGCAAGGCCUUGUUGCGGGUGUGAUGGAUGAAGAGAAUAUGAGGGCAUAGAGAUGGGGGCUGAGGUAAGUGAGAGUGAGGUGUAAUGGGUUAUGGUGGUGAUUGGUACGAUGAAGGGGUAAGACCAGUGGUCUAAAAAACGGAUCGGUGCUCUGGAUCGGGUAUGCCAAAAAUCCAUCUGAAUCGGUGAAUCGGCGAUCUAGAUAGGAAAUCGGCCGAAUCGAUCGGAUUAAGCUUUAGAAAAAAUCUAAAAAAAUUAGUAAAAUUCAUUAUAAAUGUUGUUUUUUAGGAAUCCGAUAAGAAAUGAGGGUGCUAUCAUAUUAACUUUCAUUUUUUUCAUAAUAUGCGAAUCUUGAGAUGUUUUCCCCUGUAUGAACGUAUGUUAACUAUUAAAUUUACAUCAAACAGAAGAAAAAUUAUAGAAUUAUAAUGGGUGAAGUAUAUAAUCAUACAUGGGCUACAAUAAAGAAUGGUUGAAAUCGAUGAAAAAAUGGCCACCAAAAUAUCGAAUUGGCAGAGAACCCUAAUCCGUUAAAAAAAAAAAAAAAAAAAACCCAAUUUAUUACAGCCUAACUAACUAUAAUCUAAAAUUAUUACAACCUAACUAACUAUAAUCCAAAAUUAUUACAACCUAACUACCUAUAAUCCAAAAUUAUUACAACCUAACUAACUAUAAUAUUAUAUACUAAAAUUGAAAUUGUUGGUUUAUAUUUUAUAGUUAUUUUAUUACACAAAUAAUAACAAAUCCAAAAUAUCUUAUAAUAUCAAAUAAUUUAAAAUGUAUUAUUGAAAACUUUAAGAAAAAAUAGUACAUUAUAUAAUUUAUAAUACAAAUAAAUUAAAAUAAAUAAAAUAAAAGAUUUGGUUGUCAAUGCAGAAUUAAUUUCUAAAGUGGUUUGAGUUAGUGUUAUUUUUUCUCUCUUAAAAUAUCAUCUAAAGUAAUAUUUUUUAAUAUUCAAUAAACUAGAACUAAUAUUAUUUUUUGCUUUUUUAAUAUCCUAUGGGCUAUUACUAAUUUUUAAUCUCAAUUAACUACUCAAUUAAUUAUUAAUUAUAUAAUAAAUAAUCCCAUGAGAUAAUAGCCUAAUAGAAUUUUUAUGUUUUAUUUGGUGAAAGAUAAGGGCGGUGAGCAACUAAUUAUUAUUUUUAAUAAUUUUUUUUAUUAUAUAAUUUAAUUACUACCAUCGGACGUACAUUAGUCUUAUUCAUGUUGGACAUACACUGUCGGGUUUACCAUCGUGGACUAAUAUAUUAAAACUUAAAACUUAAAAGGAACGAGACGUGGGAUUAAAACGCAUGAACCCUCACGUGAGUUGAAUAAAGUAAAGGAACAUAUAUAAUUAUCCCACAUCGAAGAGAUGUGAGAUGAAAGAGCUGCAUAAAAGAAGCAAGGCAAUAAGCUUUUUAAACGGCUGAUUCUAGUAGGCUACGUGGAAGUGAGGUGGGUAAGUUAGUACGUUGACCUACGCAUGACACAAACAGGUAGAGGCAUAUAAUGAAUUUUUAAUUGAAAAAUAAAAAAAACACUAAAGAAAGUUUAUUACCUAAUUGAAAAAUAAAAAAAACUAAAAACACUGUAGUUACACGUGCAUGAUGAUGUCACGGGACGUGAGUUUACUGUAACGACAUGCGAAUCAUGACAUCACUGGGCGAUUCACUGUUUAGAAUCAUCUAGUUCUCUUUAGACAUAAGCGUUUUAGCGUUAUUUGGUGGAAUCAGCAUGGGGGUGCCGAUUCUCGUGUCGAACUGGACGAGUCCGGUUCGACUUGAUGAGUUUUCAAACAUUGGGUAAGACAAAAGAAGUAUGAACAUGUAAGGUGUCAUGAGGAUGAUGGCAAAUGAAUAAGACAAAAUUGUAGUAGGAAAACGAGAACUUGAACCACAAAAGCUUAGAAGAAGAAACCCCAUUAGAAGACCAACCGGGCUCUUGACCUAACUGAGGGAGUACUAUGAGAGAGUUGGGGAUAAGCAUGAGCCUACCACAUACUAAGAAGCCAUAACCUAUCUUGAACAGAACUAUUGGGUAGAAGUCGUGAAAGAAGAGUACAAAUCCAUUAUCCAAAGCUGAGUUUGGGAGUUGGUGUCUUUACCUCAAAACUGUAAGGUUAUUGGGUGAAAAUGGGUUUUCAAGAAGAAACUAACUCAGAGAGGAAACUAGAAAAAUACAAAGCUAGAUCUAGUAGCCAAGGGAUUCACCAAAAGGAGAGGAUUGACUAUCAUGAACCCUUUUCUUGCAAAAUUUCCAUCCAUUAGAAUCCUAAUUGCGAUAGCUAUCCAUUUUGACUUUGAGGUCCAUCAAAUAUACGUAAAAAUAACCUUUCUCAAUAAGGAAUUAAAAGAAGAGAUAUACAUGAAGCAACCUGAGGGUUUCAAAGAUAAAGAAAAGGGGAACCUAGUUUGUAAACUUCAAAAUCCCUUUAUGGCUUAAAAUAAGUAUUGUGACAGUGGUACAUUAAAUUUCAAGCGACCUUGUCUCAGGCGGGGUUUACCUUGAAUGAAGAAAAAUAUUGCAUUUAUAAUAAAGUUAGUGGAAGUGAUGUCGUGCUCAUAUCAUUAUACGUGGAUGAUAUGCUAAUAAUUAGUAGCUCAAUAGCUCUUGUGUUGGAAGAAAAAUAAUUCCUUUCACGAUACUUUGAUAUGAAAGAUUUUGAUAAAAUUUCAUAUUGUUGGGCAUCAAGAUAGCAAGAAAUAGAGCAAACUGGACCAUUCAACUUUCUCAAGCGACUUACUUCAAAAGAGUACAGGAAAAGUUUGAAAUGGAUAAGUGUAAGCCUAUAUCCCCUAUCAACAUGAAGACGAAACUUAGUCUGCAAGUGUGCCCUAGCGACAUUGACGAGAAAAAGGUUGUGUAAAGAAUACCCUAUCGAAACACAGGAGGAUCUCUGAUAUAUGCCUGGUUUGGCAUCGAUCUCGUCGAGUCUUAAGAUCAUGCGGGGACCCGGAUGUGUGAGUCUAGCUUGAGAUCGCUUUCUCAGAAACCACAGUAUGUGAGGUGCACGUGCAGGCAUGUAUCAACUAAUGAGAGAGAAUUAUGUGGUGUGAGGUGGGACCUACCUCACCAUAGGUUCAAGAUACGCUCGGGCGUUUUGUGGGCGCCCUCAUAAAUCACGAUGGAAAGCCCCUUAGCCUGAGAUUGGUUAGGCUUUAGCUCCCUUGCUGGCACUGUACGCCUAACACACACACACUCAUAAGAAGACCAGACAAGUGGGUCAGAAGACCCUUACUUGUCAUUAGAUGGCUAUAUAUGUAAAAGGUUGGGGUGUGGAGAUGACAAGAUCCUAUUUGUUAAUUUGAAAGCCUUUCGGCGCCAUUUUAACAAACAACCUCAUGUAAAUAAGUAAAAAAAUAAAUGAAAAGAUUCUAGAAGAUGAUUCAUAUGGUCAAGAGAGGGAUAUCAUGAUGGUGGGGGAGAUGGAAAAAGAGUCGAGGAAGUAGAGAGUCAAGAGGAAAAGAGGGAGGAGUUUAGAAGAGAUGGAGAAAGGAUUAUAAGAAGAGAGAAAGGGAUUAAAGAGAAUGAGAGAGAGAAGAGAGAAGGAGAGAAGAAGAGAGGAGGAGAGAGAGAAAGCAAGGAAGAUAGAGAGAGAGAGCAAAGAAGAGAGAAGGAGAAGAGAGAGAGGAAAUGAGGAAGAGAGAGAGGGAGAGGGAGGAGGAACGAGAGAGCGAAAGGAAGAGAGGGAGGGAGAGAGAACAAGCAGGUGAGAGAGGGAAAGAGAGGAAAGAGAGGGAGCGAGUGAAGAGCAGGGAAGAAAGAGAGGGUGAGAGAGAGAAAUCGAGAGAGAACGAGAGAAAUAGAGAGAGAAAAUAAGAGAGAGCGAGGAAGAAAGAGAGAAGGUGAGGAAGGAAGUGCGAAAGAAAAGGAUCGAGAGAGAGAGGGUGAGAAAGAGAGAGAAAUCGGGAGAGAGUGAGAAAGAUAUAGAAAGAAGAGGGAGAACGAGAGAGAGAGAAAGAGAGAGCUAGAGAAACCGAGAGAGAGGACGAGAAAGAGAGAGACUGAGAGAGAGUGGGGGGAAAGAGAGGGAAGAAAGGGGAUCAAUAGAGAGAGUGAGGGAGAGAAGGGAAAGAAAGAGAGAGCGGGAGAAAUCGAGAGAGAGAAGAGAGAGGAAAGAGAGAGGGAGAGGAGAAAGGGGGAGGUGCACACGCUAGAAGAAGCUCGUGCACGAGAGAGAGAGGGAGAGAGUGAAGAAAGAGAAACACGAGAGGAGUCGGCGGCGUAGCUGCUGCCUCAAUCGAGAGAGAUAGAGAGAGAGAGGGAGAGAGGGAAAAANNNNNNNNNNNNNNNNNNNNGGGGACGGGCUGACGGCUUAACUGUCGAAGCGGUUGGGUGCGAGUAGACAGAGAGAGAAAAAGAGGGGGAGAGAAAGAGAGGGAAGGAGGAGAGAGAGGGAGAAAAGGGAACGGGCUGACGUCUUAGCCGUCAACCUGGUUGGGUGUGAGGAGAGAGAGAGAGAGAAUGAGAGAAAAGAGAGAAAAAGAGGUAAAAGAGAGGGGAAGAGAGGAUUGGGGAGGAAAGAGAGAGUGGGGGGUUACCUAGUGUGGCCUUUGAAUUGGACUAAGGGCGAGGUUGUGAGUGAAUAGUUCUAAGUAGGAAGCAAGGGGUCCUUGGUAGGAAAUGAGAAGUUCUAAGGGUAUUCUCUUGUGUGGGAAAGUUUUCUCUCUCUUCUCUUUUGGGGAAAGGGAUAUAGACAAAAAUAUUGCAAGCCAAGGAAACUCAACGUAAUUUCAUUAGUUUUUGAGCUUAUGGGCAAGAGAGCUUUUACAAAUGAUCAUGCAAUGCUUAUAUAGAACCCCCUUGGAACAAGGGUGGAUGCUCAAAGCUAACUCUAAUUGCUUAAAAUUAUAAUUUUUAUGAUUUAAAUUUAAAUCCCAUUUUUGGGACAAAAUUACCAUUUUGCCCAUACCCACAAUCUUGAAAAUGGUAAGAUGGUCCCUAAAAAAGGGCCAUGGGCUAUGGUGGUCAUUCGGGGCUCAUUUUCGGCCCUUCCGGUAACAUUCCGACAAAAAGAAUGCCGCAAAAGUGAUGGUCUCGACGAGGUGAUCGUUUUGACAUAUUACUUGAUCCUCGAAUCGAAGUGUUGAGCUCUUGAAAAAAUUGGGUAAAAGAUGAGAAAUUUAUAAUCUUAGAUCUUGUCCAUUCCUUGACGUUUUAGCUUGAUAUUUCUAUCUUAGAACGACAGGGAAGCUGUCAUGAUCUUUUUGUGACAAGAAUGACUCGAUUUGGUGACCGGACCUCCACUUUUUGAAUUGGGGAAGUUGUCGGAAUAUCGAUUCUAGUAGUAGGAAAAUACCUCUUUUUGCAACCUCAAAACACAACCUUUAUGGUCAUUUAUCACAUAUGAUGUUCACUUUGGAUCGAAGCCCUCGAUGUCAUCGUCGCAACAGAUCUGUUUUCAAGUUGAUCGGAGGUCGGGGCUUCGUGAUAUGACCGUUUGAUUGAAGGGAUCUCCUUCUUGCAAAAAUCUGCAAUACAUGAGUUUUUUUGAACAACUUCUAUCUAGGAUUUCUUCCAUCUCGGGCCCCGUCACAGGCCGUGCCAUAUAUCAAAACGUGCACGUUGGCGAGACGAAGAACUUCCUGAAAUUUGGGCUCGAUCAGACUUAAAAUAGAGAAGUUAUGACCUUUUUUAAUGUGAUUCGAAAUCAUAAGACAGUUUUCAUAAAUGGAAAUUAGUUCACCGAUGGUGCACUAGAAUAGUGUGUAACCCACACUUUGGGUAAGUUGGCCGCAGAAUGGUCCAGAAAUGUUCGAAUGAGCUGAAAUUUGAUAUAUGGAGGUUUUCGAACGUUCUGAAUCCAAAGAAAGUGGUUUGGUGAUCAUCUAAGGCCCCGGUGAUAGGGUUGUAGUUAAGGUGCUUUUCAGCAUGUUACGGGCCGAAUUUGAAAACUUGUUUUGUGUGUGAUCCACCUUAACGUCAUCGGAUCCAGAUGAAACUUGGCGGGUGUUCUCAAUGACUCAAGUUCUACCCCCCCAUGCGUUUGGGACUGAUCCAAAGCCUUUAAAAAAUUCGCUUCAGAUCUAUUUUAACAGUACUUCCGUAGUCCACAUGCAUUUUGAUAACUGUGGGCCUUGGUCGCAAUUGGCUUCCUCUUUAUUUGUACUGGGGAUACAAGUGUUGACAAAUACCAUAUAACAGCUUGCUCCGUCGAAUGUUGUACUUCAAGAGAAGUGAGAAGGACAACAUUCAAAAUCAAAAUUGGUCAUUUGGCUUUCAUUUUUCGUCUCGACCACCGGCAUCAACACAAAUAGCAAAGGGAAAAUUUUGCCAAGCUUCUUACCUAGGGGAUGAUUGAGGUUCUUCAACGGCUGGGGGCCUUGUUUAAGGGCUUGUAGACUUAGGGUCGUCAAGACUUUUGGGGGAGAAGAGAUUUGAGGCACUGGUGGGGGGCUUGCUUAAGGGCUUUUCUUCCCACUUCAGCAGCCCUUCUUUUUGGCUCCAACAAGUAAGGGCCUUGCUUAAUGGCUUGUAGACCCAAUUAGUCAGACUCAGGGUUUGUCUGGCAGUCGGGGGCCUUGCCUAAGGGCUUUCUUUCCAAUCAAUCAGGUUUUCUUUUUAGUCUUCUGGUGGGGGAAUUGCUUAAGGGCUUUCUUCCAGCUUCAUGAGACGUUUCUACUCCGGAUAGAUAGUCGAGGUCCCUUAAUGGGGCAUAUGAACUGCGACAUUAGGGUUUGGAGUUUGUUUGAUAAGCGGGGUGGCUAUUGGGCCCCAGUCUACCGGAUCCAGUCAGGGGCUUUUUGUUGGCCAUCUUGAAAAGUCUGAACCAUCGAUAAGUGAGGAUUUUGAUGAGACAGUCUCUUUGGGGCUUGAAGCCCCAAUCUCACCGGGUCUAGUCAGGGGCUUUUUAUUGGCCAUCGUGAAAAGUCUAGACCAUCAACAACUAGGAACCUUAGGGAGACUGUUACCUUAGAUGUCGGUGGAGGUAUUAGUCAGGCUUAACAGUCUAUCGCCUUUUGGGAGCAUCUUAGUAUUGUCGGCAUGGCUUUCUUCUUUUUGGUGACUUCUUAAGAAUGAACUCUUUUUGUUGAUUUUUCUGAUUUUUUGGGUCUUCUCAGGGAUUGACCCAGGUUGUUGGAAUUUCUUAAGCUCAUUAUGGUUCUAGUAGUAGGGUACCCUCUUUUGAAGGAUGUUGACUCCCAAACUACCGGGUUUUUUUGUCUGGAGUGUUGGCUGAAGCCGCCCGUGGAGGCAAGCACUGCAUCAACUUGCUUAUUGGUUCAGAUGCCCUUUCGAGAUUUCAGCUGAAUAGAGGGGAAGUGGUGCCGUAGAAUGGUUUUCACCAAGUUCCUUAUUUUAUUAGGUCCAUUUACCCGUGACCUCACGGUCACGUCCACCUUCUUUCCCAUUUUUACUCACGGUGCCCUUUCUGGUUUUCACUGUGUUUAGUUCUUUCUUUAAAGAACACUCUUACUCAUCGUUUCAUGAGCAUGCCCGUCUGUCAUUUUUACUCAUGGUACCCUUUCGGUUUUUACUAUGCCCUUUUUUCUUUAAGCAUUUUUAGCCAUAGUUUCAUGAGCAUGUCUGCUCAUGUUUAUUUAUUAUUAUUUAUAAUGUAUUUGAUGGAUGUGGAUGUUGGUCUUGAAGGUUGUCUUUGACAAGGCUAAAUUGGGCUGAAGAUGGGUAAUCGGGGUGGUAGCGCCCAUUUUAAUUUUAAAUGAGGCUGAAAACAUGGUAAAGGUUUACUGGGAAAUAUGGUGGUUUGUGAAGGGUGCAAUUUGGCCAAGGGAUAGUGGACUGGUACAUGGGCGGUAGUCUCAUGGUGACCAUGAAGGGUACAGCUCACUGGGGAGUGGAGUGAGCUCUUGUGCGUGAUGAAGGUUUAGUGAUGGAGGGUACGACUCACUAGGGAAUGUAGUGAGCUCUUGUGAGGGAUGAGCAUGGGAUGGUUCGAUUUACUGGGGAAUGAGGUGACUUUUUAUUAAGGAUGAACGGAGUAAGCAUGAGAUGAUGGAGCAGGGAUAUUGCAUAGUGAUAGAUGUGCAUGAAGUGGGGGUGGUUUGUGAGAAGACCUCACGGUGUAGAGAGAGAGUGUGAAGACAGGGUGCAUGUGAGGAGAGGUUGGGUAUACGAGUGAACAAUGAGAGAGAGAAGUGGAGCUUGCGAGGAGGAGAGAAACAUUCGUGCGUGGUAAAAAUGUGUGCGCAAGGGGGAAGAGUGUAGAAGAGAGAGGACGACAUGCAUGGGAGAACACGUGCGUGUGGGGUGCAUAGAGGAGAGAGAAAGACUACCACGAGGAGAAGAGAGAUAUUUUGGCACGUAUGAGAAGGGGGCAUGUGCGUAAGAGAGAGAGAAGUGGUCGCACGCAUGUGGGGGAGAAGCACAUGCGUGCGUGCACAUGAGAGAGAAGGGGGCAAUCGUAUGGGCACAGGCUCGGGGUAGGAGCCUGGCUUGGGCCUUGCACAAAGAGGAGAGAGAAUGAUGUGCACACGUAGAUGCAUGCAUGAGAGAGAGGAGACUCAGGCUCGGGCUCAACCCAGCCCGGCCCAAUGGCAAGGGGAGAGGGGGGAUGCAUGUGUGAGAAAGAGAGAGAGGGCUCGGGCUGGGGUUUGGGCCGAAGGCUCAGCCUGACCCAAUUAUGAAGAGAGAGGAGAGAGAAAAAAGAGGGUCCGAUGGGCCCUAAAUGGGCAUGGCCGCCAGACCCAGAAGCCCUCUUUUGACGGUGAGUGAGGCCCUUCUUGCUUGGAUUAUUUUUUUGCAUGUCCUGGCACCGGUUUCAUGCGAUGCUGAUGCCGUUUGACUCAGUUGACUAUUUUGGCCCUCCCCAAAUUUUGUUUUAAACAAGCAACUUCAAGAGAAAUUGUGUCUUCUGGAUUAAUCUUUUCUCUAAGUGGUUUUUUUCUUUUUUUGAAAUAACCCAAAAGUAUUCAUGGACUGGGUUGGAAUAUAGGAUUUGAGAGGGGUUAUCGAGGAAAGGUGAAAAAAAACCUUUUUUAAAAAGGGCGUAUAUAAGAGUGGGAGAGGGUUCACUUUUGAUCACUCACUCAUUUUUAAAAUUGUAGCGAGAGAAAUUAAGGGAGCCUUCUAGAGUGAGAAAGUGGGCUUGCAAAAGGGUUUUUUUCUUUAAGGCAAGGUCUGAUGGCAGGGGCAUCUGGUACUCUGGAAUUUGGUUAGCCGACUCCCUCAUGAUUCUUUUGUUCUUCCCAUGCUCCUUAGCACUUUAUAUGCUUAUUUUAGCACUUAAGUAUUUCUUGCGCUCAUUAAGCACCUUAGCAUUCCCUCGAACAUUUUUAACACUUACUUAACACUUUUAGUGUUUUUAAGCAUUUUUGGUGCUUUUUAAGCAUUUCAAGUGCUUUAAAGCCUUUAAGGUGCUUUUGAAGCAUUUUAAGUGGUCUUCAAGAAUUUUAAGCACUUUUAAGCAUUUUAAAUGCCUUUUAAGUACUUUUAAACGCGUUUUAAAGCAUUUUAAGCACUUUUAAGUGCUUUAACUGCUUUUUGGGCGUUUUUUAUGCUUUCAUAGUACAUUUAACACUUUCAAUGCUUUUUGAGUACUUUUAAUGCUUUUUAAGCACUUUUAAUGUGUUUUAAUUAUUUUUAGUGCUUUCUAAGUUCUUCUGCAUGGAUUUCACCUGAAUGGAAGGAGGCUCUAUUGGGGUUCGUCUUGCUUGGGUACGUCUCACAGUUAAGUUCCUUCCCUGAGCAUUCCUCGGGGUACCUUGGAUUGGUCAGACACCUUCUUUGUCAAAAGUCCGAUUUACAGGGGAGGUUUUGCCAAAGUUUUGCCAGGCCUUGUGUCUUCCCUUUUUUGCUUUUUAUACAGGCUUUUUUGUGUAUCCAUGACUUAUUUGGGCGAGCAGGAACCUUCCCAGGUUUAGCCUGGGACUGACUCUUUCACAUGUGUCAAUCUUGUGAGAGGGGAGCCUAUAUGGCUUACAAGGCCCACCCGCGCUCCAAGUGACUGAAGACGAGGAAUCGAUAGUCCGGGAGGAGGGAAUCCCAAUAUUCCAUUUCUUGCACCAAGAUUUGGCUUCUAGCAAGGCCCUUCCUAGCCUCGGGAAACAGAUGGCCAAGACAAAGGUAUUUAUUUGGUGCCCCGAUGGACUUUGAAUGCCGGGGGAACAUCAGUUUGUGAAGGGGUAUAGCCCUUGGACCCUUGAUGUGCUCCAGGCUUAUGAAGAUGACCUCAAGCUUGCUUCCUUAUUAGAAGUAGUAUAGAGUUAUGCGGGAUACUUUGACUGUUGUCCAAACACUAUGAGUUUAGAGACUUGAAGCCAUGUUAGCAAUUCAUGGCUCUUUGAUCAUGGUGAGGGCGGCUGCUCCUUAUUGGACCGGCACUUUGUUGGGGGCCUCCCAAUGAUGGGGGGCCAUGUAUGACGAUUUUGUCCUGUACAACUCAGUCAUCUUUGGAAGGAAACCAUUGGGGGGUGAAACACGUCCUCCCGGCCUUCGGGAGAGAUUUGAGAUCUAUCAGCUACUCAGCUCGUAGGCCAACGAUGGCUAAGUGAGCUUUUCUCACUGGAUUAGACUCUUCUAUGGUGAGCGCCUAGAUGCAGUCGAGCCUGAAUACUGCAUUCUGGGCGAUAAGGGAAAAGAGAGUGCGAAAAUCAUUUCUGCAACCUUCGUACGCUGGUCCAUGAGAGACAUCCUUUAUCUUGGUGCAUACUUGGCUCUUUUUCUAUGUAAGUUUUUCAUUCCUGGGUCCAGCGAUGUGAUCCGACCAGGUUGUUUCUUCGCAGUCUGUGACAUGGUGCGAUGAUGUCAGUAUGCCUUGGCACAACCGGUGCUAUGCAGCAUCUAUUACGACCUUGGGGCAAGCCAUAUAAAGGGGGAGAUGGACCGGGGCUAGUAUGGGGAGAGGCCUUCCCAGGGAAUUUUAGGACGGUAUUCCUAGUCCAUUAUCUAUUCGGUUGGCUUUCGGCUUACUUCCCGAGCACUUACACGACGAGUGCCGCCUUAUCUAGGACCAUGUGUACCCAGCUUGUGAAGAUUACUGGUCAGAAGGCCAAAUUUCAUACCCUUGGUCAUGCACAAAGCCUCUUUGGAGGGCAUUCUUUCUUCACCCAUCGGAACCCGUUUCCUGUGGGCAGUUAUAUCGACCGCGCGUUUAUCAAUCAGCUGGGCCAUGAGCUCAUUGGUGCUGCGACUAAUAUCUUCGAGCUGAUGUUUCUUUUGAGCAUGAGGGGGUGUAUUUUACCUGUUCGAACACCAUUUGACUCGAAACGUGAGGCGUACUACCCUCACUACUUUGCAUGACAACAUGGUUUAGACCAGGGGUGAAGCGGUGCGGGAAAGAGUGCUCGAAGAAGAAGAAGGAUGACUUGGGGACUUGCCAGGAGUCUUGGAAGACAGUACACGUAAGAACAGCCAGGGCAACCUGCAUUGAAGUUAUGGAGGUGAACAAAUUUGUUGUUCCCCAUUAUGGAAGAAUGGGUCAGGCGACAGAGGAUUACUGGCAUUGGUAGAGAAUUACCAACAGCUGGCAUUGGCAAGUUGAUCAUCCUUAGAAGGGUGAGAAUAAUACCUGACGACAUGAUACCAAGUAAGGUAGGAAUUUUGUGCUGUCUGCCUUUUUGAAGCCCUUUGAAUUGGAGUACCCCCCGAGACUUGGAGCAGCUUGGGGUCCCGCGAGCAAUGGUGGUAGAUGAGGAGUCACCACAGGUGCUUGCACUUAAAGAGAGGACAAAGACCCUCUUUGAUGAUCUUUGCUCGAUUUUUGAAUGAAAACAGGGUCGCAAAGUUUGCGAUCGAGAAGGGCACCCUGUUCAGGAUUAUAAUGCCCUCAUAUGUAGUGGUCCCCAUUCAGCCCUUGACAUCGGUUUUCGCUAUGGCCAUGUUUCAGAAAAGCCUGAGCCACCUUCGAGGGAGAAGAAGAAGAGAAAGAAACCAGUGACUUUAGACGUUUUUGAAUCCAAGCUUGUACAAGAACCACUUGCUCGUCAAAAGAGUGCCAGAUUGACAAGUCAGCUUCCAGGUCUCAGCGUGUCAUUGAUCCUCCUUGUUCAGCCUCGACUGAGACUGGUGUUACGACUACCAUUGUUGCGGGAUGCCCCGAUUCAGAUAAUGUCCCUCUUGUAUCAGAAGUCAUUCCCUCAGUUGUGCAGCCGGUGCACGAGUCAGCAACCGCUGCACCGAUUCCUUCUCGGUGGGUCAGCUUCGGCCUUUCUCUUUGUUCAAAGGAAAGCGACCCUCCCUCAGUGAUGGGGACAGGCAGUAUGGUCAGUGGGACCAUUGAUGGUGGCAUGGAUAACCUUCCAAGGGAGGGCGUGGAUGCCAAUGCGAUGCUUGGGAAACCUCUAGCUGCUCCCCACUUUGACACUACUAACGUGGCUGAGGCCUUGGUUUUUCUGGCUUCAAUCGUCGAGUCCCGCUCGGAGCCAGAAGGGUCUUUGAGUGCGGGCCUUGAUGGCACGGCCUCAAAGACGACUAUUGAUCUCGCGAUUAUUCCUCCGAUCAAAGUUACUUGAGCCCCGAGCUCAUCAACGAUCAGCUCACUUUUUAGUGCCAAGUCAGCCAUGGUCAUGGGCAUGCAACGCUUGGAUCUUCAAUCAUUGAAGGGGUGGCCCCUUGCGGAGCUCGGUCCUGAAUAUGCCAAUCUUCACGGCUGUACAGCUGCCCUGGGCACUCAAGAUUGUGAGAAGGAAGCCUUCACCCAUUUUGACAAUCUUUUGUGUAAGUUGGAGAAUUGGCAAUUAGAGGCAUUGAGGGCAGAGUUGGAGGGGAAUGAGCUUCAGGGGGCUCAACUUGCCAUGUUGGAGGCUUCACUUGAGCAGCAUCGUGAACAAGUUGAUGGAUGCACUUAAGAGGAAGGCUACUCUAAUUGCUCAAAAGUCCGACUUCAGCAAGCAAGGUACAACCCAUUUGACAAAGAUGAGGGCUUUGAAGGCAGAGAUACUGAGGAUGACCCUGAGUAUGGCGAGCUGAAGAGAUAAGUGAACCGGUGGAGAGCAGAGAGUCAGAUUUUAUCUGACGAGUUGAUCGGGCUCAAUCGCAUCAUUGAGUCUGAGACCACUUCUGCAUCACAGGUUGCCCAGGCAGUGAUCGACCUCAGGAAACGCGCGCAAAAGUCUUGUGGGCGUUUCGAGACGGCGAGAGCAAAGAUCGGCUAUGUUGUUUUAUUGUUUCUAAGGGCGUUCUUGUUUCCUCCCUUCUUACCCUUGCUUAUAUACAGACCUUGACAACAUACAUGAAAUGAAAUACCACGAUUUGCUCACGUUUAAUCCGCCUUUCUCAUUUUUGUGGUUUGCAUUCCUUUGCCUUCGGUUGCUGUCUCCUGAGAGUGGUGAGCCGUUGAGAGCCUUUUUUGUGGGUACGUUUGCCCUUCACGUGUCUUCGACUUAAAUGCCCUUUCGAGUUUUCGUUCAAGUCCUUAGGGUGUGCCAUUUCUGGUUUUUGCAAAACCCCAUGAGAUUUUUUUUAUUGUGGUGUUUUUGCUCAUGGUUCUUACACCAUGUCAUUCAGUUUCUCAUUUUUACUCACGAUGCCCUUUCAGGUUUUCACCGUGCCCAUUUUUUUUUAUUUCUGACAUUUUUUACUCACGAUGAUUGAUGGUGCUACAGUGCCCCGUCAUUUUUUUUUUCUUUUGGCUUUCUUACCCACGAUGCCCUUUCGGGUUUUUGUCAUGUCCAUUUUUUGGGGAGGAAUCUUUAAGGUCAUGCCACCAGGAACGUAACGAUAGUGUGUUUUAGGGUCACACACUAAGACCUAAGGGCGUGUUCAAGGUCGUGCCUCUGAGACCGUAACGAUAGUGUGUUUUAGGGUCACACACUAAGACCUGAGGGCGUGUUCAAGGUCGUGCCUCUGAGACCGUAAUGGUAGUGUGUUUUAUGAUCAUACACUAAGACCUGAGGGUGUGUUUAAGGUCGUGCCUCAGGGACUGUAAUGGUAGUGUGUUUUAAGGUCGUACACCAAGACCCGAGGGCAUGUUCAAGGUCGUGCCUUCGAGACCGUAAUGGUAGUGUGUUUUAAGGUCGUACACCAAGACUUGAGGGCAUGUUUAAGGUCGUCUCUCUGGGACCGUAAGUCAUGGGUAAUACUUCUUUAGGUAGCGAUCGUUGUUGGGAGGCAUGGCUUCCUCUUCAUUAAGAUGAGCCAGUACAUAAGCUCCAUUGGGGAAGGCUUUCUUAACCAAAAAUGGCCCCUACCAUUUUGGUUCAAACGUGAAUUUAUGUUGCCCAUGCAUGAUGAUGGGUCUUUCCACAACAACGAUUAAUUCACCGUAGGUAAAUGAGCGUAUUUUGACUAUCUUAUCAAAAGCUCGUCUCAUCCUGCCUCGAUGGAAUUCUAGGUUUUGUUGGGCUUCAAACCUCUUCUUGUCAAGCGCUUCCAACUCUUGAUAGUGAAGCUUGAUCUUCUUGUCUUCGGUUAUGCCAUGGUGUAUUACGAUGCAGAGUGAAGGGAGUUGACCUUCGAGGGGUAGGACAACUUCACUCUCAUAAACCAAGGACUAAGGAGUGGAGUCGGUAGCAUUCCGCAUGGUGGUGCGGUAAGCCCAUAGGAAUUCAGGGGGCUUCUCAGGCCAGUUUUUCUUUGUUUUUGAGACUGAUUUCCACAAGAUGUCACAGAGGGUCUUGUUGAAGGCUUCAUUAGGACCAUUGGCUCGAGGGUUGUAAAUAGUGUACUUCCACUCAAAGCCAAUCUGGUUGACCAUGCGAUCGAUACACUGGCUUCGAAACUAAGGACCAUUAUUUGAUGUAAUCCGGUCAGGGAGACCGAAUCGAUAGAUAAUGUGGCGCCGGACAAAGCUAGCUACCAUCAUCCUAGGGACAUGCAUGAGAGGGAUUGCCUCAGCUCAUUUAGAGAAGUGGUUUGUAGUAGCCAAAAUAAAGACAAGUCGCUAGCUGAAGGUAGGCCAAUGGGACCUACAAUGUCCAUGCCCCAAUGUGAGAAGGGCCACGAUGCCAUUGUGGGGUGGAGAGGUUCUGGAUCUUGAUGGAUGAAGUUUGCGUGCAUUUGACACACUUGGCACUCUUAGCAUAGGCCAGAGAAUCCGGGACCAUGGAGGGCCACUAAUGCCCUAACCUUUGGAACCGCUCAUAGAGCUUGGGGCCAGAUUGGUGGAGUCCACAAAUCCCAAUGUGCAUCUCCUCAAGUACUUGCCUCGACUCUCUCAUGUUAAUACAUCUAAGGAGGAUGCCUUCAAAAGAGUGUCGAAAGAGAACAUUGCCUUCAAGUAGAGUGUACUUUGUGGACAUCCUUUGUAUAUUGUUGUGCUCAAUACGAUAGUUUGGAAGCCGACCAUGCAUGAAGAAAUUGAUUAUGGGCUCCCUCCAAUCUUCAACAUGUUCAACCUCUGCGCACAAUGGGUCAAAGAAUUCCACCUUAGGCUCAGGGGCUGAGGCUUGCUUGACUUCUUUUUCAGCUUUAAUGACAUCUCUAGCUGCAAGAAUCGCCUCGAACGGGAAGGUGGGCACUCUGGAAAGAGGACCCUUUAAUCAUCUGAGUCAACCUCUUCAAUCUGCUAAGUAUGUGUCCUUCCGCCACCCAUAUAGGCGCAGGCUCUCUCGACGGGACCUGCAUGGUCGCAUCGAGCUUGGAAAGGGCAUCAGCUUGUGAGUUCAACCUACGGGGCACAUGUCCAAGGGAGAAAUCAUCAAGUCAAGCCAUCAAGGUCUUAGUAGUGUCAUGAUACGGCUUGAGAUUGUCUUUUCUCAAAUCAUAUAUUCCCUCAAGGUGCCGUAUCACCAACUUGGAAUCGCCAAAAAUGGCUAAUCGCCCCAAGUUUGGGUCAAUGGCAAUCUCACGACCUAUUAUGAAAACUUGGUAUUUCGCCUCAUUAUGUGAGCUGAUCUUUGUUAGGGAGAAUGGCAAGGGGAUAAUUCCAUCUUGAGGCGUAGAGAACACCACACCUGCACCACCUCAUUCUAACUGGAAGCCUCUGUAGAAGUAUAUCUUCCAGUCAAGUGGUUCCUCUGCAUAGAACACCUCUUCAUUAAGGAGGUCACUUGAUAAGGGCGAAUCUGACUGCAGGGGGUAUGCAACUAAAAAGUUAGCUAGGACUUAGCCUUUGAUAGCUUUCUGUAGCACAUAGGUGAUGUCAAAUUCCAUAAAUAGCAGUGACCAUUUCGUCAGGCACCCUGAUAAGCAAGGGCGUGGCAUGAGCAACUUGAUCGAAUUAGCUUGUGAAAUGAGUCGGACAUCAUAGGUGAUCAAAUAAUGGUAGAGAUUUUGAACUACGAAGACUAAGGCUAGACACAUUUCCUCGAUCGGGGAGUAAUUCUUCUCAGCCCCUUGCAUCCUGCGACAGAGGUAGUACAAGGUGGUUUCCUUCCCUUCUUUGUUAUGCUACGCAAGGAGUGCGUCAAGUGACUCAUCGAGAGCGGUCACAUAUAAGAUGAGAGGCUUCCUAGGCACAGGAAUAGAGAGCACCGGGGGGUUCAGUAAAUAAGUCUUGAUGUCCUCUAGAGCUAAUUGACAUGCCUCAUCCCAUUCGAAGGGUACAUCUUUUCUCAACAGGCAUGUAAAGGGUUUACAACUUCCUAAGAGAUUGACAAUGAAUCUCCGAAUGUAGGCAAGCUUGCCUUGAAGAGAUCUAAGCUCUCAGAGAUUUAUCGGCGGCGCCAUCUCUUAAAUUACUUUGAUCUUGAUGGGCUCGACUCCAAUCCUCGACACCUGACAAUAAACCCCAGGAAUUUCUCUGAUCGUACGUCGAAGACACACUUCAAGGGAUUCAUCUUGAGCUAGUGAAGACGAAGCCGCUCAAACACCCAUUCAAGAUCUUGAAUAUGGGUACCCCUGUCUCCUGAUUUCAUCACCGAUUCAUCAACAUAACAUUCUACCUCCUUAUGCAACAUGUCAUCAAAGACGGUAGUCAUGGCUUGUUAGUUCGUGGCAAUUGUGUUCUUUUAACCUGAAUGUCAUCAUUGCAUAACAGAAAAAAGCAGUAGCAUCUUCAUCUUCGAGUGUCAUCCUUAUCUGAUUGUAUCCCAAAUAACCAUCCGUGAACGAGAAGGCCUGACAAUGAGCCGUGGAAUCAAUGAGCAUCUCAGUGAAGGGAAGUGGAAAGUCAUCUUUCGGACAUGCAGUAUUCAAGUUAUGAAAGUCGAUGCAGACCCCGAUUUGCUCAUUUUCCUUCUUAAUUGGUACGACAUUGGCCAACCACUUCGGGUAUUUGACCUCUCGGAUGAAACUCAUUUCCUUGAGCCUUCUUACCUCAGCAUCAAUGUGAAUUUUAGGGCCAUAUCGAAACCUCCUAAAUUUCUGCUUCACGGGCUUGAAGGAUGAGUCGAUACCGAGCCGAUGGACUGCGACCUGAGGGCUAAGACUAUACAUCUCAUGAUAGUACCAAGCGAAGAUGUAUCGAUUUGCUCGUAGGAAGAUGACAUACUCCUCUUUUUCUUCCGGUGACAUGAUGGCUGAAAUGAAGGUUGGCCUUGGGUCAGUCUCAUCACCCAGAUUUAUCUCUUCUAGAUCAUCGGUUGUGGCUUGUAUGCCAUCUUCCAAUACUUGGGGGCUUGCUCAACCUCCGCUUCAUCGGCAGUCAGAAAGCUAGAGGAUUCCUCUGUAACCUUGAAUGCCUCCACUUUCUGACUAAGAGUUACCAAUUCUCUUGCCAUCUCCACUUCGGCUAGGGUUUCAAUGACAUGGGACAUAGACACUGUCUCAGUUUCCUGUGUGAACUGGGAAUGGUUGGUUUCAAGGAGAGAGGGGUUAAAAGGUGGGAAAAGUGAAUUUUGAGGAGUUUGGAUGAGUUAAUGAGGACCUGGGUCGGAGGGAAAAGGCUUAGAAGAUGAGGGGGAAGGGUCUUGAGGAGCUUGGGUAGCUUGGGGAAGAUCAUCUUGAGAGAGGGGAGGUUUGUGAAGUAAGGGAGGUGGGGGUGAAGGUUCAAAAGGUGAGAGUAAUGAAUAGGGAGGGGCCACCAUAUUGUAUGACAAACUUCAUAUUGCUGGGAAGAAGGGUGAGAGACUUUGGCAUAUCCAAUCCCUUUUCUUGCAUCAUUUUGAGCAGCAGCUACCUCAAUUGCUUUGAAUGGGGCAAUCAUCCCUUUGCCAUCUUUUAGUGCUUGAAUGAUCGUGGGCUCAUAAUCCAUCUUCCUCAUGACUUGAGGGACUUGGUGACUAUAGAGACGCUAUUCCGGAAGUACCUUAGCAUCUUUAUAAGGAUGUCCUUUGGUGGACCCAAGUCCAUUGGGACUUCAUGUCUCUGAAACAAACCCCAACAAUGGCUUAAAAGAUGUAAAUUUCAAGAGGACCUCUUCUACAUUAGCCUUCCCUUUUUUGAUGACCUCCCGUUGACCAAGAAGUUUUUGAUGACCUCUAGUUGAUCCAAGUGGUCAAGCUAAGGAAGAGGGGUGUUAUUAGAAGCUUGGGCUGGUGAAGGGGGAGUGCCAAUUGUAAUUGGGUGGCUCAGAUCUCCUCUUGCCAAGGAGUCUGAAAUGUGCAAGACCUUUUGGGAUUGCACAGAUAAGCUGGCCUUUGGGUAAGUGUUAUCCUCCCCUCUUAAAGAGGUCGGGAUGCGCAAGACCUUGUGGUCGGCUUGGUUAGCCUCAAUAGUCUGGUGCGAUGCUUUUGCCUUUAGGAGGGGGAUGGGGAUAUGCAGGACUUUUUGAUAAUCCGACAUCUAAGUGACCCUUGGUGCCAGAGCAUCAAUGUCCAUAGCUUCCUCAUGCUUUGCAGUGGGUUCUGGUUCGGUCGUCAUUAGGUGUGACUCUGGAGUCAGGGGAAUGGGGGAUGAAGUUUGCCCUCAUGGUAUUCAAGUGGUAUUUCCAAGGGAGAGAUGGGGACAUUUGCAUGGAUAGAAGUCAAAGGGAGUACCUUGCCAUUUCUCUUCUCCUCUUGGAACAUGCUGAGGAGAGUUCUUCCCACAUCUUCUGCAUCAUUAUGAGAAGAUCCUUCCACCUUUCGUAUGGGAUGAGCUUCUGAGGCCAUUACUGGCUCUUGGGGUGGUUCACGAUUGGCAAAGUAGUAUUUUGCAUCCGCAUAAUGAGUUUCAGCGAUGGAGAAAGGUCUCUUAUCAACAUAGAACGUGUAUUGUCUCCCUUCCCGACUGUAAUUGAAACAUUGGUGAAGUGUGGAUGGGACGACCCCUGGGUCAUGCAUUCAGAGGUGACCGAGCAAGAUAUUAUACGAGGUAUCCAUCUCAAUCACAUGGAAUUGGGCAUAGUCGUUCAAGUCACCAAUUUUUAGAUAGAGAAGGAUCAUGUCAGCCGGCUUCUCCCCUGACUGAUUGAACCCCUGAACUGUGACGUUCAUCAGUGUGAGAUCGUCUGGUCUCAACCCUAUGUGGGUGAGAAUCCUUCUUGGGAUGAGGUUUACUCUAGAUCUUCUGUCAAGCAUGAUUCGACAUAUGGGAUGAGCAUGCAACUCACCAGUCACGAAAAGGGGUCGAUUGUGAAACUUCCCUCCCAAUUGAAGGUCGUCAUCAGAGAAAGUGACUGCCAUAUAAUUGUUUAGAACUGCAGGGUCCACUUCAAUCCGCUCAACUUGGGUCUCAUAUACUUCGGGACGGGAGAGAGCUUGUAUGAGAGCCAUACAAUAAUCACCUUAAACCAUUAGAGAGUCAUAGACACUCAAUAGGGCAGGGAGUUUCCUUAGGUGUCCAAUCACCUCAUACUUGACUUUGUCAUCGUUUAACUCAUGGACUCCUUGGUUUUGCCACUGGUCUUCGUGGUAUUGGAGGUGGUGAAGCAGGUUUGGGUAAUGGAGGGUUGUUUGUGAGUGUGGGUUGGCUUGAUCGCACAGCUGGGCUUGGUAUCAGUUGGUCAGAUUAGAUGGUUGGAAUGGGUAUAGGCUAGAUUGACUGCGUUGCCGGGAUGGGUGUAGGCUGGUUAGAUUGGAUGAUUGGAACGAGUACAGGCUGGCUAGAUUGUGCAGUGAGGGUAGGUGUAGGUAGAACGGGGGAUGAUGUAACUUGAGGGCGUUGAGGAUUUAUAAUGAAAGUUGGAGAUAGGUUUGGGUAUGGAACUAAGGGUGGUCCCGGGUAUUUGAGGAGGGUCGGUGGAUCAGAUGGAGUGUUUGGCUAUGGAAUUAGUGGCAGACCAGCGUAUUUUAGGAGUCUUGGUUGUUUUGGUUUUUAUACGAGUGGUUGAAGUUUCCUCCCUAACCUUAAGACAAUUUGGCUGACAUUGAUCAUCCCUUCAGCGACUCGCAUUACGUGGCAUGCUUCAGAAGAAGAGUACCUUUGGCCUUUUCUAUCCGUCCAUUGCUGUUUCUAGUCGGGCUUAGGAGGCCAUCGAGACUUUUUGGGCCUCGGGUUCCGGUAUCGCUCGAUCAACUCUUCAGGAGAGGGAAGGGGUUUCUUCUUGGACCUGGAGGCUAAAGCAUCAGCAACGGUUAGAAAACCAGCUGCAUGUGCCAGCUUGAGAGAAGAACGGUUUAAAGAGUCGGCGAUAGGAGAGGGGGAAGAUCUUUUAGGGUCAUCACUCAAGUUGGAUUGAGCCAGGUAGCUUUUGGGGUCAUCACCUGUAUUACAAUCAAGUAGGCUUUUAACGUCUUCACUCUCAUUGGACGUAAUCGGGAAACCUUUUAUGUCAUAACCCUUGCUAGGCAUGUGCAGUGGAUCUUUAAGGUCUUUACCUUGCAUGGACCAUUGAAGGGUGUUUUUUAAGUCAUCACCCUUAUCGGACGAAUGAGGGGAGAUUUGGGUAGAUGCCACUCUUGGGACGACUUCUUGACUAGUUUGUAAAUUCUAAUCAUAGCCAUCUUCAUGCAACAUGACUAGUUCGGGGAGGAGGUCUUGCAAGGUUAGCAAAUGAGGGAAUGGUGGGAGGAACAUUGCAUCAAAGGUGGGUUGGGGUAUUUCUUCUCCUUUGGUGACCAGCUCACGGGGCUCGUCUACCUUUUCCCUUCUUAUUGACAGGAGCAGGCUGGCGAGGCACGCAGGGUCUACGUGUCAUGUUUGCCUAGCGAAUUACCUUCCUCUUCAUGGAUUUCAUCCUACUUUGCCCCUUGGAAGUUUACUAAGGCUGUGAAGUAGUAGGCUCCUCGGAGUCGUGGACCUGAGGAGGUGCAUCUUCACACGUGGUUUGUUCUUAAUUGACUUCAUGUACCAUCAGUCUAGGCUCUUGAGCAGAUUGUUCGUGGUCCAUGACAAUGACGUUCACUGCUAUCCGUCCUCUUUCCAUCUUUUCUUGUACAAGAGCUCGGAAGCCGAAACACUGAGAUAUGUCAUGGCCUAUUAUCUGAUGGUAUAGGCACCAAAGAUUCUUAGUCCACUGGACUAUGUGUUGAGGGGAGAUCAUUUCUUCUUGGACCAUCAUGGCAAAUAUGGCGGGGACAAGGUCGAAUGGCAACUCAUUGGAAUGAAGCCUUCGAACUUGUUCUUCUUCUUGGACUGUGACUAUGUGAGAAACUUCAGCGGUCUCGAAUGCCUUCUUGAGGCUAUCCAAUUGUAUUUGGCCUUUCUAAAUCAGUGUUUUGAUGUGGUCAUUAAGGGUGAAGCGAUCUUGGACUGGAUGCCCCUACAUCAGGUGGUAUGCGCAAUACCUCUUGUUGUUCACGAGUCUGGUCUCAUUUGACCCUUUGCCUCAGGAAGGACAAUCAUUCCUUGCUCCAACAGCAUCCGAAAGGGGGUCGGGACCCACUCCUUAUCAAAGUUGCAAACCUUGUUCCUCUUUUCUUCUCAAUAGUCCUUUCGAUAGAGGCCUUGAGGUGGUGGAACCCUAUUGUAGGACUAUGAUUGUUGUUGCCUCUGCUGAGGGUCUCCUGAGUUUUUAAGGGCAAUAUGCCCUGGAAGUGUCCAAGGUUUGAAGAGGGGCAUGGUCAAUAGAUUGUUUAGCUGGCGAAACGGUGACUGCUGCACUAAUUGCAACUCUUUGCUAGCUGCCUCGCGAUUAUUACCAGUAUGCUGGUUGACUCCCCCGCUCGAGGUUUACAACGAGGCUCCCCUGUGGUUCUUGAACAAGCUUUCUAUACGGACUGACUUAGAAAUCAGAUCUGAAAUAAUGGUGGGGUUCAAGGCUUCAACAUGCAAUGAGAUCUCGGAUCGAAUAUUGCGGACACAUGGCUGCACUGCAUCAGUUUCUGGCAUAGGGUUGCUUUGGUACAUGGCCGAAUCCUUCCAUCUGACGAUGAACUGAUGAACGGGUUCAUGUGGUCCCUGGGUCAUAGUAAGAUGUUAUAUGGCCUGCAUGUCCCUCUCAACCUCAUAGAAGUGCUUGUAGAAUAAGUGCUCCAUCUCUUCCCAGGACUGAACAAAGUUUGGUGGGAGACGAGCAUACCACCUGACUGUCGGUCCUUUUAGGGUUUCCACAAAUUGACAGAGAAGGAGUCUACCGUCUGAGGCCGUUUCUUGGCAUGCAGACACAAAGUGUGCAAUAUGCUAAUUGGGUGAGCCUGUACCAUUGAAGACCAGAAGCCUUCCCUUUUGGUAAUUUGUCGAGAACGGAAACAAAUUGAUGAAUACAGGAUAGUUGUUGCGAUAAAGAGCAGUAUCUUGCACCCCAGGGAUCUGUCUGUUUCGUAGGCUAUGAUUAACCGUAGCAAAUAUUAGUCUAUGUAAUUGGGUGAGGGAGAGCCUGAGAAGGCAUCGGGGGAGAAUAACCAUACGUCGUCAGAGGAGGGGGAGAGAAGGACAGAGAUAUAUAGAUAGAGAAGAGAGAGGGAAAAAAGGGGAUGGGUCGAUGGUUUACUCGCCAGCCCCGCUAAGUGCGAGAGAGAGAGUGAGAGAGAGAACGAGAGAGAAAGAGGGGAAAGAAGGAGAUGAAAGGGGGGAGAGAGAGAAAGAAGGAGAGUGAGAGGCAGAAUGAGAGAGAAAGAGGGGGAAGAAAGAGAGGGAAGGAGGAGAGAGUGAGUGAGAGAGGAGAGACAAAGAGGUAAAAGAGAAGGGAAAAGAGAGAAAGAGUGAAUGGGGGAGGAAAGAGAAAGAGUGAGGGGUUACCUAGUGUGGCCCUUGAAAAGGACCGGGGACUAAAUUGGGAGUGAAGAGUUCCAAAGAGGAAGCAAGGGCUCCUUGGUAGGAAGUGAGAAGUUUUAGGGGUAUUCUCCAGUGGGGGAACGUUUUCUUUCUCUUCUCUUUUGGGGAAAGGAGUAGAGACAAAAAUAUUGCAAACCAAGGAAACUCAAGUCAAUUUCAUUCAUUUUUGAGCUUAUGAGCAAGAGAGCUUUUACAAAUGAUCAUGCAAUACUUAUAUAGCACCCCCUUGGAACAAGGGUGGAUGCUCAAAACUAACCCUAAUGGCUAAAAGUUACACUUUUAUGAUUUAAAUUUAAAUCCCGUUUUUGGGGAAAAAUGACCAAUUUGUCCUUACCCACAAUCUUGAAAAUAGCAAUAUGGUCCUCAAAAAGGGGCCAUGGACUAUGGUGGUCAUUUGGGGCUCAUUUCAAGCCCCUCCGACAAUCUUCCGACAAAAAAAAUGCACGAAAGUGAUGGUCUUGGCGAGGCGAUCGUUUUGACAUACUACUUGAUCCUCGAAUCGAAGUGUUGAGUUCUUGACAAAAUCUGGCAAAAGAUAGGAAAUUUACGAUCUUAGAUCUUAGAUCUUAUCCGUUCUUUGAUGUUUUGACUCAAUCUUACUAUCCUAGACUGAUGGGAAAGCCACCAUAAUCAUUUUGUGACAAGAAUGACUCGAUUUUGUCAUCGGAACACCACUUUCUGAAUUGGGGAAGUUGCUGGAAUAUGGAUUCCUGUCGUCGAAAAAUACCUCUUUUUGCAAACUCAAAAUAAUGCCUUUGUGGUUGUUUAUCACAUAUGAUGUUCAGCCCUUGACGUCAUGGUCGCAACAGACUCGUUUCAAGUUGAUUCGAGGUCGGGGCUUCAUGAUAUGACUGUUUGAUUUAAGGGAUCUCCUUCUUGCAUAAAUCUGUAAUACAUGAGUUUUCUUGAACAACUUCUCUCUAGGAUUUCUUCCACCUUGUGCCGUGUCACGGGCCAUGCCACGUAUCAAAACGUGAGCGUCGACGAGAAGAAGAACCUCCUGAAAUUUGGGCUCGAUCCGACUUAAAUGGAGAAGUUAUGACCUUUUUGAAGGUGAUCCCGAAAUCAUAAGACAGUUUCCAUUUCACCGAGGGUGCACCAAAAUAGUGCAUACCCUACCUUUUUUGGGUAAGUUGACCGUAAAAUGGUCUAGAAGUGACCGAAUGAGUUGAAAUUUGAUAUCUGGGGGGUUUUCAGACAUUUUAAAUCCAAUGAAAGUAGUCUGGUGGUCAUCUGUGGCCCCGUUGAUAGGGUUGUAGUUAAAAGGUGCUUUUUCAGCAUGUAAAGGGCUGAAUUUGAAAAUUGGUUUUACGUGUGAUCUACCUUAACGUCGUCGGAUCGCGACGAAACUUGGUGGAUGUUCUAAGUGAGUCAAGAGCUACCCCCACAUGCUUUCUGGGACCGAUCCAAUGCCUUUCAAAAAAUCGGUCUAGAUUAGGGUUUAUUUUAAUAGUGCUUCCAUAGUCUGCAGGCAUUUUGGUACUCGCGGGCCUAGAUCGCUAUUGGCUUCCUCUUUAUUGGCACCGGGGAUACAAAUGUCGAAAAAUUCCUUAUAACAAUGUCUUGUUUGGAUCAAGACCAGACUUGUCCUUUUCCAUGAGUAUGAUUAGGCAGUUCCAAUGUAACCCUAAGAAUGAGCUUUGGAAGGCUGUUAAAAGAGUUCUAAGGUACUUAAAAAGAAUUGAGAACUAUGCACUAACGUAUGGGGGAUGUUAAAAAAUUGUGGUGCAAGUAUAUACAAAUGCUAGCUAUCAAGAUGAACUUGAUGGCAUGAAAUCUACAUCUAUAUAUGUGUUUGUGCUUGGAGGUGGUGUUAUUUCAAAAAAAGAAGAUGUUGUGGCAUUAUCCACAGUGGAGUCAGAAUACAUGGCUUGUUGUUUAGCAGCCAUUAAGGCUAUAUGGAUAAAGAAGUUCUUUAAUCGACUAUAGUUUUGAGGCUGUAUGAUGUGCGUGUGAGGAUCUUUUGCAACAACUAAGCUGCAUUUUUUGGGAAUAAGUUGCCACAAUUUCAUAAUAAAUCCAGGUAUAUCAAGCCGUGAUAUUAUCAUGUUCGAAAUGAGAAACAACUUGGAGAGAUCGAGAUGACAUACAUUCCCACAGAGGCAAUGGUUGCAGACCCUUUAACAAAAUGUUAGUUUCAAAUGUUUUGUAUAUAGGAUGAGACUGAGAGAGAGUGAAGAAGAGAGAUUGUAAAACCUUCAAAGACCAACUGGAAUAUGCUGGGUUUUUUUGGACCUUUAAAGGCCUUACGCGAGCAUGUAACGAAUUUUGUGUUAAUGGAAUAAUAAACUCCAGUGGGAAUAUAGUCCAGAGGAAUUGAAGUUGGCAAUACUGAUGCCGAGACUUAGACUAAACUUGACGAGAUAGAUUGAGUUGAGUUGUGAAACCCUAUGAUACCUGAGCAUAUAGCACAACUGGAAAUGUUAGUAGGGUUAACCCUUGAUGAGGUAGGAGAGAUGCCUGAGAUAGUUAUCUAAUGGAUUGUGAUCCUUGUGAGUGAUUGAUAGGCUUGAAGGGACAAGGGCCAAAUCGUCAGCAUAACCAUCACACAACAUCUACAUAUAAUAGUUGCAGUGGAAAGUGAACACUAUUGAGGGUGUUGCCUGUACAUGUAUGAGAGGUUGUCCCCAUACACCAAUUGCGAGGUGUGUGAACUAGUAUGUGUGACUUAGGCUUGUCCCUAGAGGGAACUUGCAGUCCAUAAACUAUGAUUGUGUUAUCAUCACCUAUUGACUAAGUUUAAUAGCCCAAUCAUGAACUCCUAUGAUGGACUGUGGGUAUACUAAAUUAGUUUGAGAAAGUGAGUGUGGGAUAUGGUCACUAGUAGGGAUGGGGUGCCUCAGUAUUUUCACAUUUUUUUUAACGAAGUUGGAUUUAAUUCCUAUCAAAUUAAUUUAUAAAUAAUUUAUUUUGUUAUAAUUUAUUUUUAGAAUAUUAAAAUAAAUUUUUAGAAGUCUCUGGAUAUUUUAUUUCAUUAAAAUUGAUUUUUAAAUAAGCUAAACUAAAGUUUUUUGCAUUUAAAUAUUCAUAAAAUAAAAUAAAAUAUUUAUACUUUUCUAAAAAUCAUUUUAUAGUUCUAAAAUUAUUAAAAUAUAUUGGGGCCCAUUAUACUCUAUUGGCACCACCAUUUCAGCGCAUUUUGUUGAGGCUGUGGGGCCCACUAAUGCCAUGGAGUGGCAAGCCCCACUUUUCUCCCUCUUAAAAUAAGAUAGAACAGUUUUUGAAAAGAGACUAAUUGAUUUUCAAAAGUAGCAUGUGUAGAGAUUGAUUGAAAAUAAAAGCGAGUAUAUUAUAUUUUAUGUACAUUAAAUAUUUGAUAGAAUUAGGUUAAGAAAGCUAAAGAAUAAUGGUCUAGCACCUUCUAUUAGAUCAUUAUGGUUGAUAUAUGGAUUGUAUGGCUAAAAUCUUUCACCUCGCAGGUCACCUUUGAUCAAUAGUUUAGAUAAAUCUCUAAAAAGAUGGCUAAACCCUAGAAAUUAUAACCUUAACCUCAUCUUUAUAACAUCUCUCAUUUAGGGGGUCUUACGCUCUCUCUCCUCAAGGUGGCAUGCCUCCCCGUAGAGAAACAAGAAGAGAGCACCUUUGUUCCACUUGCUCUCAAACCCAUAGAAGGAUUUCUACUCAAAGCUUUCCAACACAGUGAGAUCUAAAAAAGUCCUUGAUCCUGUGCGCCAUUGGUGGAUGAGAUCCGGUGUAGGGUGUACAAAGUUCAAUUAAUAUAAUCUUUUGACAUUUUAUUUAUUAUUAUUGCAUUCUAAUGUUUCUUGUUUCCAUGUUCAAGUUGGUGUAAUUUUGAUUAUGUAAUGAAGAGUUGUUAAAAUGGCUGUGAGAAUCCAAAUUUAUUUAUUUAUUUAUUUGAGUACUUAUUGUAAA